rnacentral:lncRNA from 1 species
AAAGACCCUGAAGUCCUCAUUUGUAGGGCUGGUCCUCUGAUGCCCGAUUUGCUUUUGCUGCAGGUUGGGAUGGGAAAUGCUGACUAUUUGGCUGCCUUCCUGCAUGUGCUGCUCCCGUUGGCCUUUGAGUUUGACCCUGAGCUGGUGCUGGUGUCAGCUGGAUUCGACUCUGCUAUUGGGGACCCUGAGGGGCAGAUGCAGGCCACCCCUGAGUGCUUUGCCCAUCUUACACAGCUGCUACAGGUGCUGGCUGGUGGCCGGAUUUGUGCUGUGUUGGAGGGUGGAUACCACUUAGAGUCCCUAGCACAGUCAGUGUGCAUGAUGGUGCAGACAUUGCUUGGUGACCCCACACCUCCCCUUCCUGGGCUCAUGGUGCCAUGUCAGAGGUUUGAAGGCUGAGGGGCCAGUGGGGGAGGGCUGAGAGGGGAGUCAGGCUUACAACUCCACUUCUUCCCAUAGUGCCCUGGAGUCUAUCCAGAGUGUUCGGACAGCCCAGACCCCUCACUGGACAAGCCUCCAACAAAUUCCACAUGUACAGUAGCAGAGGAUUCACUGAGCCCCUGCCUGGACAGACCGUGCCACCGCCC